rnacentral:lncRNA from 1 species
UAUUCCAUUACAGAGCAAUUUUAACUCCUUGUUUGUAUAUUUCAGGCAGUCUAAAAUGGAUGAAGCAGUUGUGUUGCUAUAUCGGUUUAAAAGAAACUUCAGAAAUAGGGAGAUGAACUGACAGUAGCAUACAGAUGUCUUCCAUGGCAGGUCCUGUUUAAAACACAACAAGAAACUCCAGGAUCAAAUGAAAAGAGAUUAGCUCUACGUUGAACCCAGUUUUCCUCUCUCUGAAUGAGGCUCUGAAUUACACAUCUAGUAAAUGUUUUGAUGUCAUCAGCAGCAUGCAGCAAAUGUUCUUAUGGAGGUUACGAGAGCUGCCAUUUCAUGUCACCUUGUUUUCAAAAAGGACCUUCCACGUGGUGCCUCAGCAAUUUGGACCAUGUGCCUUGCACACUUGCUGCUCUGAACAUACGGCUACUAGAUAUGAACGGAUGAUUCCUGAAUAGUUCUGCUUUCAGAGCGUGUGCUGCAAGU